rnacentral:rRNA from 1 species
UACGUAGGGUGCAAGCGUUAAUCGGAAUUACUGGGCGUAAAGCGUGCGCAGGCGGUUUUGUAAGUCUGUCGUGAAAUCCCCCGGGCUCAACCUGGGAAUUGCGAUGGAGACUGCAAGGCUGGAGUCUGGCAGAGGGGGGGUAGAAUUCCACGUGUAGCAGUGAAAUGCGUAGAGAUGUGGAGGAACACCGAUGGCGAAGGCAGCCCCCUGGGUCAAGACUGACGCUCAUGCACGAAAGCGUGGGGGAGCAAACAGG